rnacentral:tRNA from 1 species
GGCAGUGGGGUGUAGUGGACAGUGCACUGACCUGGGAUUCAGAAGGCCUAGGUUCUAGUCCCAGCUCUGCCA